rnacentral:lncRNA from 1 species
GGGAGCUACCAUUUGAUUUUUAUGGGGGGGGGGCUAGGAUGAAAAAUUUUGUCCUGCAUUUUUUUUAGUUGUAAUCUCUGUCCUGCCUUUUUAUUUUUCACUCUAUUCGGUCCUGCCUUUUUUUUUUUUUAGUUUAUCCUGACUUUUUUUACCUAAGUUGUCAUCCUGACUUUUUUUUUUGCAAGUGUCUCAUCCUGCCUUUUUUUUUACUCAAAAUUCCUGUCCUGCCUAUUUUUUUCAAAUUUCAUCCUAGCCCCCCAUAAAAAUCAAAUGGUAGCUCCCUUACUCAGUCCAGCUACCAAGGUUUGCAAGUUACCAUUGCAUGUUUCACGAUUACCAAUGAAAGUUUAUAAAAGGCCUGCUACCAAGGUUCUAGUGUUAAGCAAGUAAACACACACACACAUUUAAAUAUGCGCGACGUAAUGCUAUACCAGAGGCGUUACAAUAUGAAUAU